rnacentral:rRNA from 1 species
AUUGAACGCUGGCGGCAUGCCUUACACAUGCAAGUCGAACGGUAACAGGUCUUCGGAUGCUGACGAGUGGCGAACGGGUGAGUAAUACAUCGGAACGUGCCCAGACGUGGGGGAUAACGAGGCGAAAGCUUUGCUAAUACCGCAUACGAUCUAAGGAUGAAAGCAGGGGACCGCAAGGCCUUGUGCGUUUGGAGCGGCCGAUGGCAGAUUAGGUAGUUGGUGGGAUAAAAGCUUACCAAGCCGACGAUCUGUAGCUGGUCUGAGAGGACGACCAGCCACACUGGGACUGAGACACGGCCCAGACUCCUACGGGAGGCAGCAGUGGGGAAUUUUGGACAAUGGGCGAAAGCCUGAUCCAGCAAUGCCGCGUGCAGGAUGAAGCCCUUCGGGUUGUAAACUGCUUUUGUACGGAACGAAAAGGCUCUGGCUAAUACCUGGGGCACAUGACGGUACCGUAAGAAUAAGCACCGGCUAACUACGUG